rnacentral:rRNA from 1 species
UACGGGGGGGGCAAGCGUUGUUCGGAAUUACUGGGCGUAAAGGGCGCGUAGGCGGCCGCCUAAGUCAGACGUGAAAUCCCUCGGCUCAACCGGGGAACUGCGUCUGAUACUGGGUGGCUUGAAUCCGGGAGAGGGAUGCGGAAUUCCAGGUGUAGCGGUGAAAUGCGUAGAUAUCUGGAGGAACACCGGUGGCGAAGGCGGCAUCCUGGACCGGCAUUGACGCUGAGGCGCGAAAGCGUGGGGAGCGAACAGG